GAGGGUGUAGCUCAGUGGCAGAGAGUGUGCUUAGCAUGCACGAGGCCCUGGGUUCAAUCCCCAGUACUUCCA
rnacentral:tRNA from 1 species